GCACGAUUAGCUCAGAGGUAGAGCAAGCGGCUGUUAACCGCUUUGUCGGUGGUUCAAAUCCACCAUCGUGCU
rnacentral:tRNA from 1 species